UUAGUUACCAUCAUUAAGUUGGGGACUCUAGAGACACUGCUCCGGUUAACGGGGAGGAAGGUGGGGAUGACGUCAAGUCCUCAUGGCCUUUAUGUCCAGGGCUACACACGUGCUACAAUGGGUUGUACAAAGGGUUGCGAGCCUGCGAAGGUGAGCUAAUCCCAUAAAGCAGUCCUCAGUUCGGAUUGGAGUCUGCAACUCGACUCCAUGAAGUUGGAAUCGCUAGUAAUCGCGGAUCAGCAUGCCGCGGUGAAUACGUUCCCGGGCCUUGUACACACCGCCCGUCACACCAUGAGAGUUGGUUGUACCAGAAGUUGUUGGGCAAACCCUUCGGGGAUGCAAGCACCUAAGGUAUGAUUGAUGAUUAGGGUG
rnacentral:rRNA from 1 species